UGGGCCUACGGGGGGCAGCAGUGAGGAAUAUUGGUCAAUGGGCGCGAGCCUGAACCAGCCAAGUCGCGUGAAGGAUGACUGCCCUACGGGUUGUAAACUUCUUUUAUAAAGGAAUAAAGUGAGGCACGUGUGCCUUUUUGUAUGUACUUUAUGAAUAAGGAUCGGCUAACUCCGUGCCAGCAGACGCGGUAAUACGGAGGAUCGGCGCGUUAUCCGGAUUUAUUGGGUUUAAAGGGAGCGUAGAUGGGUUGUUAAGUCAGUUGUGAAAGUUUGUGGCUCAACAGUAAAAUUGCAAGUGGUACUGG
rnacentral:rRNA from 1 species